rnacentral:rRNA from 1 species
CCUACGGGAGGCAGCAGUGGGGGAUAUUGGACAAUGGGGGAAACCCUGAUCCAGUGACGCCGCGUGAGUGAAGAAGUAUUUCGGUAUGUAAAGCUCUGUCAGCAGGGAAGAAAGAAAUGACGGUACCUUACCAAGAAGCCCCGGCUAACUACGUGCCAGCAGCCGCGGUAAUACGUAGGGGGCAAGCGGUAUCCGGAAUUACUGGGUGUAAAGGGAGCGUAGACGGUGAUGCAAGUCGGGAGUGAAAGGGGGGGGCCCAACCCCCGGACUGCUCUGGAAACUGUGUAACUUGAGUGCAGGAGAGGUAAGCGGAAUUCCUAGGGUAGCGGUGAAAUGCGUAGAUAUUAGGAGGAACACCAGUGGCGAAGGCGGCUUACUGGACUGUAACUGACGUUGAGGCUCGAAAGCGUGGGGAGCAAACAGGAUUAGAUACCCGUGUAGUC